AUUGAACGCUGGCGGCAGGCUUAACACAUGCAAGUCGAGCGGGGUGAUGUAGCUUGCUACAUUACCUAGCGGCGGACGGGUGAGUAAUGCUUAGGAAUCUGCCUAUUAGUGGGGGACAACAUUCCGAAAGGAAUGCUAAUACCGCAUACGCCCUACGGGGGAAAGCAGGGGAUCUUCGGACCUUGCGCUAAUAGAUGAGCCUAAGUCAGAUUAGCUAGUUGGUGGGGUAAAGGCCUACCAAGGCGACGAUCUGUAGCGGGUCUGAGAGGAUGAUCCGCCACACUGGGACUGAGACACGGCCCAGACUCCUACGGGAGGCAGCAGUGGGGAAUAUUGGACAAUGGGCGAAAGCCUGAUCCAGCCAUGCCGCGUGUGUGAAGAAGGCCUUUUGGUUGUAAAGCACUUUAAGCGAGGAGGAGGCUACCGAGAUUAAUACUCUUGGAUAGUGGACGUUACUCGCAGAAUAAGCACCGGCUAACUCUGUGCCAGCAGCCGCGGUAAUACAGAGGGUGCGAGCGUUAAUCGGAUUUACUGGGCGUAAAGCGUGCGUAGGCGGCUUUUUAAGUCGGAUGUGAAAUCCCUGAGCUUAACUUAGGAAUUGCAUUCGAUACUGGGAAGCUAGAGUAUGGGAGAGGAUGGUAGAAUUCCAGGUGUAGCGGUGAAAUGCGUAGAGAUCUGGAGGAAUACCGAUGGCGAAGGCAGC
rnacentral:rRNA from 1 species